rnacentral:lncRNA from 10 species
CCAGAGGCUGGUUCACUGAGCUAUGCAGCUUGAUAACUGCCACCAGUAAUGAAGUUGGACUGAAUAUUUUUCCAGUUCUACCCACAGACAGAAAAGGGAUGCCAGAUGAUAUGAACUUCAGUGAUGUAAAGCAAAUCCAUCAAACAGACACUGGCAGUACUUUAGACACAACAGGAGCAGGAUGUGCAGUGGCGACUGAAUCUAUGACAUUCACUCUGAUAAGUGUGGUGAUGUUACUUCCCGGGAUUUGAACAAGCUGACAGAGCAUAGGAGCAUGUUAUCUGGGCCUCUGUAUUGCAGGAGCUCGCUCAGAAAAAUGAAGAAAGACGAGAAAAUGCUCUGUCAUUCAGCAAGAAAGCAGAUGGAAGCUUAGAAUCACAGCUUAUUUAAAAGGACAGCUUAUAAAUAUGAUGUGUUUAUAAUUUUACUAUUUCAUUUUCCUCAUUUAUAAAAAAAUUAAAGAAAAUCUCAUGAGAAUUUCAUCACAGAUGGUUAACUGCAAUAAAUUUAUAUUGAAUAAUUUGAUUUACUUCUAUUUUGACUACACAUCUAUUAUAGUAUGGGUGUGAUUGAAUGCAAAUCCACAGACACAUGUACACAUUUAUCUAUAUCUAUCCAUAAAAUAUACAUAUUCAUGUUUAUUGUUGCUAUGAUUGUAUUGAUGCUUAUAUUUAUAUUUGUAUAAAAUUUGCCUUUAUGUCAGUUA